rnacentral:rRNA from 1 species
AGAGUUUGAUCCUGGCUCAGAUUGAACGCUGGCGGCAUGCUUUACACAUGCAAGUCGAACGGUAACAGGUCUUCGGAUGCUGACGAGUGGCGAACGGGUGAGUAAUACAUCGGAACGUGCCUAGUAGUGGGGGAUAACUACUCGAAAGAGUAGCUAAUACCGCAUGAGAUCUACGGAUGAAAGCAGGGGACCUUCGGGCCUUGUGCUACUAGAGCGGCUGAUGGCAGAUUAGGUAGUUGGUGGGGUAAAGGCUUACCAAGCCUGCGAUCUGUAGCUGGUCUGAGAGGACGACCAGCCACACUGGGACUGAGACACGGCCCAGACUCCUACGGGAGGCAGCAGUGGGGAAUUUUGGACAAUGGGCGAAAGCCUGAUCCAGCAAUGCCGCGUGCAGGAUGAAGGCCCUCGGGUU